rnacentral:rRNA from 1 species
UACGGGGGGAGCAAGCGUUGUUCGGAUUUACUGGGCGUAAAGGGCGCGUAGGCGGUCGUGACAAGUCACUUGUGAAAUCUCCGGGCUUAACUCGGAACGGUCAAGUGAUACUGUCGGACUAGAGUACAGAAGGGGCAACUGGAAUUCUCGGUGUAGCGGUGAAAUGCGUAGAUAUUGGGAAGAACACCGGUGGCGAAGGCGGCGCUCUGGGCCGAGACUGACGCUGAGGCGCGAAAGCGUGGGGAGCAAACAGG